ensembl:lncRNA
CCGGAACCUGAGAAAGAUCCCAUUCUAGGUGGGGCUGCUGCAAUGGCAAUCCAGCAUGACGGCAAGGGUCUCGGUACUGGGUGCAACUUGAGUAUAGCAGAGGAGAGGUGGGAACGACAUCACAGACGACAUGGUGUUCAUGAAAAAAAUGCACAAAAUCCCGACUGGCCGGAAUAAUUCAUGAAGAAGGGGCUGGAUCCGUGGGUCAGAGAACACAGGACCAGUUUGCCAUCCCAAGGCCGAAGAUGGCAGCAGUGACCACGAGCCACCCACAGCUGUUCCCGAGCAAUCUGCCCCGGACCACCGAAUGGAGGACACACCGCGGAUCUCUCUCACUGUACGACUGCAAAAGCUGAAACAAAGGCCGCAGAGGCUGAAGAAGCAGCAGGGGUUCGGAAGCUUUCAGAAUAACCCCGAGAAAACCGUCUACUGAAUUACAACCCGUUUCGCCAACAGAUGUUGUGAGAAGAGGCCCCCGCUGGCUCCCAGCAUACCUGGAUGCCAUUCCUCAUGGACUUUGAAGACCUCACCUCUGCCUUUCUAAGCAGGCUGUUCCCGUUUCAGCUCUGGUAGCUCUAGUUCACCUUCUCGAUGAGAAAAUGUUAACUUGUUUUCUCCCUGAGUCCUGGAUUGAACUGUCUUACCUGAAACUAGGUCAUUUUAGGCUCGCAGCACCUCGAAACAUUGCUGUUUCUUUGAAGUUGCCCAGUUCAUGGCACACUUGUUUCCUUUGUGAACAGGGGUCCACUUCUGACAGAUGCUGCCUGGCCUGGUCGGUAUGUCUCCUGGCAGGCUCCUUGGUGCUUUUCUUCCCGGCCCUCUCCCAACGCCCCGCCCCAGGUGAGACUCACCCAGUGGGGGACCUUGUCUCUCCUGGUGAGGACCGUGUCUGUGGUGGAGACACUGCGGCUAGAUGUGUGAGAGAAAGUCUGGUCUGGUGGAACCAAUGUCGUUGCCAUUUUCAGGACCUGGGACCAGCAGCAGGGUUCGAGUAGAAGCAGAGGAGGAAAGCCUUUGGAUGCAAGUCCAUGAAAGCGUUUGAGAAUGAUAAGACACCGGGUCAGUGUGAUGUGUUUGCUCUGUCAUUAUCGUUUGGACUUCUGUAAUUGUGUAUCAGGUCUGACUCUAGUUUCUUUAGAUAAAAGCCAAGACUGGUAUUUCCAGGAAGCACGGUCUGUUUGAGUGGAUGGUGUUCCCAUUUAAUAAGGCUUCACCUCUGUUCGUGGGGUAAUGUGGGGGUCACAAAAAUGGAUGUGACAUGGUCAGACAGGUCAAACGAACAGCCCGUGCAGGAUUGGGAAGGGGUGGCCCCUAGAGAGCCUGGGGGUCCGACAGAGGGCAUGGGCCAAGCCAGCUCCAGGUGAGCCCUGCCCAUGGGAGUGUUGCAUUGUUAGCCAGAAAUACACAUCUGUAAUGUAAGCUCUUCUGAUUCUUAGCCAACUAAUGGAGAAUUUUACAAAAGACUGUGUGUGCCAGAGAAAACAUAUCCACAGACUAGAUUGAAGGGCUGCACUACAUGCAAGAUCUGGCCCAGUGGGAGAGAUGCUGGGUGGGUAAUUAGGAGGCUGACCAGGGCACAGGGUACUUGACAGAUCUUAUUGAAGGAGCCUGAGUUGGUACUUUGAGCUCCAAGAUCUUGGGUAAGCCAUGUGUGCUUUUUUUUUUUUUUUUAAGAUUUUAUUUAUUUAUUUGUCAGAGAGAGCAGAAACAGGGAGAGGGGCAGGCAGAGAGAGAAGCAGGCUCCCUGCUGAGCAGGGAGCCCGGUGCAGGAUUUAAUCCCUGGACCCUGGGAUCAUGACCUGAGCUGAAGGCAGACGUUUUACUGAUUGAGCCACCCAGGCGCCCAGCCAAUGUGCUCGUGAUCAGCUUCAAUUCUUCAACUAUACAAUGAGGCUUUUGCAAAUUUACAAAAUUCACAAUGUUCCUGUAGGCACCUACCACUACUGGGGUUGGGGUCGCACUCCAUGUGUUUAUGGUCCCGCUGAUUCCACCAAU